UACAGAGGUCCCAACCGUUGUUCGGAUUCAUUGGGCGUAAAGGGUGCGUAGGCGGCGGGGCAAGUCAGGUGUGAAAUCUCGGGGCUCAACCCCGAAACUGCACUUGAUACUGCCUUGCUCGAGUACUGGAGAGGAGACUGGAAUUUACGGUGUAGCAGUGAAAUGCGUAGAUAUCGUAAGGAACACCAGUGGCGAAGGCGAGUCUCUGGACAUUUCCUGACGCUGAGGCACGAAAGCCAGGGGAGCAAACGGG
rnacentral:rRNA from 1 species